rnacentral:rRNA from 1 species
UACGAAGGGGGCUAGCGUUGUACGGAAUUACUGGGCGUAAAGCGCACGUAGGCGGACUCUUAAGUCAGGGGUGAAAUCCCGGGGCUCAACCUCGGAACUGCCUUUGAUACUGUGAGUCUCGAGACCGGAAGAGGUGAGUGGAAUUCCUAGUGUAGAGGUGAAAUUCGUAGAUAUUAGGAAGAACACCAGUGGCGAAGGCGGCUCACUGGUCCGGUGCUGACGCUGAGGUGCGAAAGCGUGGGGAGAAAACAGG